rnacentral:rRNA from 1 species
UUGAACGCUGGCGGCAGGCCUAACACAUGCAAGUCGCGCGGAUGAAGGGAGCUUGCUCCUGGAUUCAGCGGCGGACGGGUGAGUAAUGCCUAGGAAUCUGCCUGGUAGUGGGGGAUAACGUCCGGAAACGGGCGCUAAUACCGCAUACGUCCUGAGGGAGAAAGUGGGGGAUCUUCGGACCUCACGCUAUCAGAUGAGCCUAGGUCGGAUUAGCUAGUUGGUGGGGUAAAGGCCUACCAAGGCGACGAUCCGUAACUGGUCUGAGAGGAUGAUCAGUCAUACUGGAACUGAGACACGGUCCAGACUCCUACGGGAGGCAGCAGUGGGGAAUAUUGGACAAUGGGCGAAAGCCUGAUCCAGCCAUGCCGCGUGUGUGAAGAAGGUCUUCGGAUUGUAAAGCACUUUAAGUUGGGAGGAAGGGCAGUAAGUUAAUACCUUGCUGUUUUGACGUUACCAACAGAAUAAGCACCGGCUAACUUCGUG